CCGCCACUCUGCAAGACAAAAAUCAACACAUGCAACCUCCCCUCCUCCAAACAUCAACAUACAAAUGAAAGAUAAACUAACAAUGGGGAGGGGGGGUUAGCUUACCAAUAAAAAUUGCAAUUCCCCCUCUUCUUCAUACAAGCGGCAACAUUAUCAAUUAAAGAUGAGGGGGGUUGCUUUGCACAAAACGCAUAUAAUAGACAUGGUUGGUUCUUGUGGGCACUGACCAGCCAUACGAUAUGUCCAAAGGUCCCUGCAGAUCCUCCAGCAUGCAAAGCAAUCGAGAGCUGGAGAAAUAUCGUGGUUACGAGGCCGCCACGCAGGUGCGAAGGCCUCAUCUAAAGGGCCUUCCACGCAAAAUUCUUUUUUUUUCUUUCUUUUUUUUCUUGUCCACGGUCGGACUUAGGCGGGCGCCGCAACAAAACACCAGGGCUGUAGAGUCUACGAUUACAGGGCGGGUGUGCGGUAUAAUCACCUAGCGAUAUAGUAGAAAAUUUCCUAUCGUACGUGGGGAACACCCAUGCCCUGAGAUAUAAAGCCGGGCCUUGGUACCUGAGUCCCGUACCGAGUAUACGGAUAUUAGGGAAGUAAAUGCCAAUCUCAUACAAAAAAAAUGGUCACUCUGUGUGUCUCUCUCUCGUUCCAGAUGCGCCUGACUCGGAUACUCUCCAAAGUCCAUCCAGGAUCUAUUCAGCGAAUUUCUGACGAACCUUUGGCACCUUUCUCGGAUCGGGAUUCUCAUUAAAAAUUCUGGAGCGACAUUCAUUAUAAUGGUCUUGCCUUAUCUCCAAUGAUAUAUGUAUGGGGCGGUAUGCGAGGGAUGUGAUGUGUGCGGUAUGUUUGUAAUUCUGACUCUCAUUCGAGCAACCUUCUGGAACGUGUAUAAUCAAAUCUAAAAACAAAUCAACAUGCAAAUCCUCUAACAUCAUUAUCUAGAGCGGUUAUCAAAUCGUUAUUCCAACAUUUGGUCACUUUAAAUCCAAACUGAAACUAUUUCCACUGCCUAUCUGGCUAAUGUGUGCUUGUUCCGCAUCAUUCAUCUGAUAGGUGUUCACACAUGAUGGUAAUCGCCACGGCAAUGAAAUGCCGGGCCUCUUUCGUUUGGGCGCCAUAUUGUUACGGAUGCCUCCUAUGCGACAGGAGAAUAACUAUCGGCUAGCACGGUAUAUCCCAGGAGUGGUCCCAUCCCGUCAUCUCCGUCCGAGGUUGGAGACCAGAUGGAUUGUCCCAGUCGCCCUCCCUUCCAUGGCCAACCAGUUCCCGGAUCAUCGAUUUCGGUGGCCCCAUAAACCCGCCUACAUCACAACAUCCAUCCCGCACUUACCUGCCCCGAGGGGAUCCUUUUAGCACAUCAUUACACUCAUCGCCUUCAAAUUCAAACAUUAAUCAUAUUUAUUAUAAUUUUACUAAU